UGAGGGCAGUGUCUCAGUGGUAGAACAUGUGCUUUGCAUGUAAAAAGUCCCAGGUUCAAGCCCUGAUCUCUUCAG